rnacentral:rRNA from 1 species
UACAGAGGGUGCGAGCGUUGUUCGGAAUUACUGGGCGUAAAGCGUGCGUAGACGGUUAUUUAAGUCGGGUGUGAAAGCCCCGGGCUCAACCUGGGAAUUGCAUUCGAGACUGAAUAGCUAGGGUACGGUAGAGGGAAGCGGAAUUUCCGGUGUAGCGGUGAAAUGCGUAGAUAUCGGAAGGAACAUCAGUGGCGAAAAGCGGC